rnacentral:ncRNA from 1 species
AUGAUAGAGGUCGCGUCUUUCAAGAGUAAGCCGUCGGAUGCCUGCGGGGCAGAGGAGGGCGGCGGAAAGGGGAAGACGCCGAAGGGAGAGGGUUCCGUCAGACGCUUGUCCCUGGGCAUGGAGUGAACAAUUCCAUGACUGUCAUCGCAAGAUGGAGAGCUAUCGGA